rnacentral:rRNA from 1 species
GACGAACGCUGGCGGCGUGCUUAACACAUGCAAGUCGAACGGAAAGGCCCUGCUUGCAGGGUGCUCGAGUGGCGAACGGGUGAGUAACACGUGGGUGAUCUGCCCCUUACUUUGGGAUAAGCCUGGGAAACUGGGUCUAAUACUGGAUAGGACCAUGCUGUAGGUGGUGUGGUGGAAAGAUUAGUUUCGGUAAGGGAUGAGCUCGCGGCCUAUCAGCUUGUUGGUGGGGUAAUGGCCUACCAAGGCGUCGACGGGUAGCCGGCCUGAGAGGGUGGACGGCCACAUUGGGACUGAGAUACGGCCCAGACUCCUACGGGAGGCAGCAGUGGGGAAUAUUGCACAAUGGGUGCAAGCCUGAUGCAGCGACGCCGCGUGGGGGAUGACGGCCUUCGGGUUGUAAACUCCUUUCAGCCAUGACGAAGCCCUUGUGGUGACGGUAGUGGUAGAAGAAGCACCGGCUAACUACGUG